UACGUAGGGUGCGAGCGUUAAUCGGAAUUACUGGGCGUAAAGUGUGCGCAGGCGGCCGAGCAAGUCGAGUGUGAAAAGCCCCCGAGCUUAACUUGGGAACUGCGCUCGAAACUACUUGGCUGGAGUGUGGCAGAGGAAGGUGGAAUUCCACGUGUAGCGGUGAAAUGCGUAGAGAUGUGGAGGAACACCGAUGGCGAAGGCAGCCUUCUGGGCCAACACUGACGCUCAUGCACGAAAGCGUGGGAGUAAACAGG
rnacentral:rRNA from 1 species